rnacentral:tRNA from 1 species
GGUGGUUUACCCUGCGGCGGAUGUCAGCGGUUCGA